rnacentral:rRNA from 1 species
AUACGUAGGUGGCGAGCGUUACUCGGAAUUAUUGGGUGUAAAGGGCAGGUAGGCGGUAUGUUAAGUGAGGGGUGAAAUCCCACGGCUCAAUCGUGGAACUGCCUUUCAAACUAACAAACUUGAGUAUGGUAGGGGGAAGUGGAAUUAGCAGUGUAAGGGUGAAAUCUGUAGAUAUUGCUAAGAACACCGGCGGCGAAGGCGACUUCCUGGGCCAUUACUGACGCUGAGGUGCGAAAGCGUGGGGAGCAAACAGGAUUAGAAACCCCAGUAGUCC